rnacentral:rRNA from 1 species
ACACGUAGGAGGCGAGCGUUAUUCGGAUUUACUGGGCGUAAAGCGCGUGUAGGCGGCUGAUCAAGUUGGAUGUGAAAGCUCCCGGCUUAACUGGGAGAGGACGUUCAAAACUGAACAGCUUGAGUAUGAGAGAGGAAAUGGAAUUCCGGGCGUAGUGGUGAAAUGCGUAGAUAUCCGGAGGAACACCAGUGGCGAAGGCGAUUUUCUGGCUCAAGACUGACGCUCAGACGCGAAAGCUAGGGUAGC